GCAGAAACGGGAGAUGGAAGCAUUUAAAUAUAAUAAUAACCACUGCAGCCAAAAACAGUGUCUGACAAGCCCAGUUCAAAGUUGGCCCAGACAGUAAAGCUAGCUCCCGGCUACGAGCCCGACACAGAACCAGCCAGGGGUCCCUUUACUAUGGUUUGGAGCCACGGACCUGGCCGAGACUAACUCCACCCUGACAUUGAGAAGAUGGAGGAAGAGGACGGAGCAGCAUCUGCGGCAUCCAGCUUUGUGUCUGUGAGGAGUGACUGGUCCAAAAACAGACCUCCUACCUUCAGUCAUGAACCUGCACCAACAAUAGUCUUCAAUCAUGGA